GAUUCCUGCACCUCGCCCAGAAGGGGCUUUGCCCCGCCCAGGGCCUGCACAGUUGGCGCCCACCAGCAUCAGCGUGAAGGGAGCUCCUCGCCGGCUGGCGACGGGGCUGCAGGGCUCGCUAGCCGCUCACCUGCGUGUGAGCGCGGAGCCCGCAGUACCGGCCGGGGCGCGGGAGGUGAGGGCCGUGGGAGCGCCCGGAGGUGGGGGUCAGGGGAGCCACCUGGAGGUGGGGGGACGCGUAGAUGUGGGGCGCCGCCUGGGAGUGAGCGGGACGGGAGGGAUGAGAGGGGGUGCAAGGAGGGGACCGGGGGGAGCCUGGAAGUGAGGACGCAUAGAUGUGGGGCGCCGCCCAAUAGGGGCACGGGGAUGAGUGGGGGCGCAUGGAGAGGAGGGGGCGCGGGGACGAGGGGCUCACGGAAGGGAAAGGGAGCCCUGGGAUUGGAG
rnacentral:lncRNA from 1 species